GUGGGGAAUAUUGGACAAUGGGCGAAAGCCUGAACCAGCCAUGCCGCGUGCAGGAAGACGGUCCUAUGGAUUGUAAACUGCUUUUAUUUGGGAAUAAACUCCGGUACGUGUACCGGCCUGGAGGUACCAAAUGAAUAAGCACCGGCUAACUCCGUGCCAGCAGCCGCGGUAAUACGGAGGGUGCAAGCGUUAUCCGGAAUCAUUGGGUUUAAAGGGUCCGCAGGCGGUCUUAUAAGUCAGUGGUGAAAGCCUACAGCUCAACUGUAGAACUGCCAUUGAUACUGUAGGACUUGAAUUCGAUCGAAGUGGGCGGAAUGUGACAUGUAGCGGUGAAAUGCUUAGAUAUGUCACAGAACACCGAUAGCGAAGGCAGCUCACUAGGUCUGGAUUGACGCUCAGGGACGAAAGCGUGGGGAGCAAACAGGAUUAGAAACCCCAGUAGUCC
rnacentral:rRNA from 1 species